UUCAGCCCCCCAGUGCUCGAGCUGGGACCGUUGCUGCCAUACAGCUGUGGAGCAGAGGGGACGGUGGUGGUGAAGAACCCAUGUGAGUUCCCCAUUGAGUUUUACUCACUGGAGUUCGACCAGCAGUACCUUGCUGAGGAGCAGAUCCUGCAGAUGCUUAAAGACUACGAUUGCCACAACACCUUAUUGCUGCCUCCACGUGCCCCGGGUGAGAAGCUGCCCCCAGAGGUGCUGGAGUACUAUCAGGACCAGAAAAGGCUGCAGGAUGAGCAGACAAAGUCCAAGACUGGGGAACCAGCAGGUCAGGACAAUGCAAACCUUGAAGAUGUCCAGUCUCUGUCAGAUCAAGGAAGAAAGUCCUCUGCUGGGAUCAUUCACACUGUCUCAUCCCAGAGCUCAUUCAUUUCCUCCUCUGUGUUUGAUGAACACCAGUCCAACGAGAUGAACUCUAAAUCUGAGUGCAGAGGAG
rnacentral:lncRNA from 1 species